rnacentral:misc_RNA from 1 species
AACGCACAUUGCACUCCUUGGUAUUCCGAGGAGUAUGCCUGUUUCAGUAUCAUGAGCACCCUCCCGCCUAACCUUUGGGUUUUUGGCGAGGAAUUGGAAUGCGCCGACUCUUCACAGGGUUGGCACUUCUAAAAUGUAGUUCUUGACUGUCACCUAAUACAGCAGUUUGGCCUAAUAGUUUUGGCAUUUAUUGUCAAAUCUUUGGCUAACAUUUGCUCCAGGAGACAGCCUUGAUAAAUACAGAAAAACUCAUUCAAAUUUUGAUCUGAAAUCAGGUAGGGCUACCCGCUGAACUUAA